CACGAUAGGGACCGACGUUCCAUCAGGGGUGAGCAGACGUGCGCCGGCCGUACGCCCCCAUUCUUGUCUACCUCACCCGGUUGCCUCGGCGGGCCGCGCUCCCCCUGCCAGGGAGAGCCGUCCGGCGGGCCCCUUCUGGGAGCCUCGAGCCGGACCGCGCCCGCCGGAGGACAGACACCAAGAAAAAAUUCUCUGAAGAGCUGUCAGUCUGAGCGUUUAGCAAGCACAAUCAGUUAAAACUUUCAACAACGGAUCUCUUGGUUCCGGCAUCGAUGAAGAACGCAGCGAAAUGCGAUAAGUAAUGUGAAUUGCAGAAUUCCGUGAAUCAUCGAAUCUUUGAACGCACAUUGCGCCCUCUGGCAUUCCGGGGGGCAUGCCUGUUCGAGCGUCAUUUCAACCCCUCAAGCCCGGCUUGUGUGAUGGACGACCGUCCGGCCCCUCCCUUCGGGGGCGGGACGCGCCCGAAAAGCAGUGGCCAGGCCGCGAUUCCGGCUUCCUAGGCGAAUGGGCAGCCAAUUCAGCGCCCUCAGGACCGGCCGCCCUGGCCCCAAUCUUUAUAUAUAUAUAUAUCUUUUCAGGUUGACCUCGGAUCAGGUAGGGAUACCCGCUGAACUUAAGCAUAUCAAUAAGCGGAGGAAAAGAAACCAACAGGGAUUGCCCCAGUAACGGCGAGUGAAGCGGCAAGAGCUCAAAUUUGAAAUCUGGCCUCCCCCGGGGGUCCGAGUUGUAAUUUGCAGAGGAUGCUUCGGGCGCGGCCCCCGUCUAAGUUCCUUGGAACAGGACGUCAGAGAGGGUGAGAAUCCCGUCUUGGGCGGGCGGCCCGCGCCCGUGUGAAGCUCCUUCGACGAGUCGAGUUGUUUGGGAAUGCAGCUCUAAGCGGGUGGUAAAUUUCAUCUAAAGCUAAAUACCGGCCGGAGACCGAUAGCGCACAAGUAGAGUGAUCGAAAGGUUAAAAGCACCUUGAAAAGGGAGUUAAACAGCACGUGAAAUUGUUGAAAGGGAAGCGCUUGCGGCCAGACUCGGGGG
rnacentral:misc_RNA from 1 species